GGAGCAGUUGGGAGCUCGUCGGGCUCAUAACCCGAAGGUCACAGGUUCGAGUCCUGUC
rnacentral:tRNA from 1 species